AGGGGGUCGAGGAAGGCUUUGAGCUGCCGGUGCUGGCUGCUGCCUGUCAUACACGACAGUAACAGCCUCAGGCACAGUAGCCGGCAGCAGCAGCAGAGGGGACAGGCCAGGGCGGCGUAGCAGCGGGGAUGCAGAGCAGGGAGAGCGCCUCUCCUGGCUGGCGCCUACCUGCUGUGCAUCCUUUUGCUGAGCGGGUAGCGCUGGGCCUGGCCACAGUGCCCCCUGUCUCCCGCCGGAGCCGCCACCUCUGAAGGGACUCUGAGCGCCGGGCUCCGAGUCCCACUGGUGCCUGUCUCCUGCCGCCUCUGUGGGAGCACUGCAGCCAGCUGCUGGGUCUCUGCCUCUCUCUGCAGCCAGCCUGCCGAAUUAACACAGCAGAUGGAUGCCAGGUCACAGUGCAACAGGGAAUGUGGUUCUCUUCAACAUUGGAGGAAAUGAACAUGUAUCCAUCUGCUAGUGCUCUAACAGGGCACUAGUAAAUCAUCAUGGGCCAGAACUAUUGCAGUUCGAUCCAUUCUCAAGCCUGGUGCAAUUCAUAAAACAGCCACAAGAGGGUGCCAAAUAAUAAAGUGACCCAUGGGAAUAGUGACUGGCGGUUGGAAAGCAAAAAAAUGAAUGUAAUCUGAAAUGAAGAUUGUAUACAUUAAUAAGGUUAAUAUAUAACUGCACAUUAGUGUUCUUGAGCAUUCAAUGUCUGUUUUCUAUGACAUCUUUAAAGUUACAAUAAAUACUUAACAAAC